rnacentral:misc_RNA from 1 species
GAAAUGCGAUAAGUAAUGUGAAUUGCAGAAUUCAGUGAAUCAUCGAAUCUUUGAACGCACCUUGUGCUCCUUGGUAUUCCUUGGAGCAUGCCUGUUUGAGUAUCAUGAAAUCUUCAAAGUAAAUCUUUUGUUAACUCAAUUGGUUUCUACUUUGGUAUUGGAGGUCUUUGCAGCUUCACACCUGCUCCUCUUUGUUCAUUAGCUGGAUCUCAGUGUUAUGCUUGGUUCCACUCGGCGUGAUAAGUUAUCUAUCGCUGAGGACACUGUAAAAGGUGGCCAAGGUAAAUGCAGAUGAACCGCUUCUAAUAGUCCAUUGACUUGGACAAUACUUUUAUGAUCUGAUCUCAAAUCAUGUAGGACUACCCGCUGAACUUAAGC